AGUUGAGUUGGUUAUGAUGCACAUAGAUGGCUUAAACAAUACGUCAAAAUCUUUAUCACAUAGUUGACUAAUGCUAAGUAAAUUGUGUUUAAGACCAUCUACAAACCGAACAUUAUCAAUAAAGGUUGAAGGUGUGAUUUGUAUCUUACCAAUACCCAUGAUGUGACCUUGGUUAUCAUCUCCAAAAGUCACCACACCUCCUUUCUU
rnacentral:lncRNA from 1 species